rnacentral:rRNA from 1 species
CUUGGUGACCAUAGCGAAGGGGAAACACCCGUUCCCAUUCCGAACACGGAAGUUAAGCCCUUCAGCGCCGAUGAUACUGCACGGGAAACCGUGUGGGAAAGUAGGACGUCGCCAAGA